AUGCAUUGAAAGUAUCACAGAGGUCCUGGAAAUGCUAAAGCUUGGUUCUGUGCAGGAGGUGGAUGUGCAGAACCUCUGGACACCCUUUACCUUGGCUCAUUUUGCCCCUUACCUGGGCCAGAUGCAAAAUCUUCACAAACUAAUUCUCAAUAACAUCUGUGUGCCUGUGUCCCUUUCUCUAGCAGAGAGAAAGGAGUUGGCCACCCAAAUCACCUCUCAAUUUCUUAAGCUUCACUGCCUGCAGGAGAUUUAUAUGGAAUCUGUCUCCUUCCUGGAAGGCCCCCUGGACCAGGUGCUCAGGAACUGUCUCCCACUGGAAAAUGAUGCUGUUGACACCAGCAGAGACUGCACAGCCCCAACUGGAUUGUAUCCACUGUCUUCCUAUGCCUUCCUUAUCCCAGAAAGCAACUGCUGUCUUUCCAACUCUUUCUCUGCCUUACUGUUCUUCUUCACCUUUCCCUUUUCUGCCUUAGAUACAGCCUAGUCCCUACUUGGUGGCUGUGGGAAGAGACAGGUACUUAACGUUGCUUACACUUCUGCUUCCUAAAUUAGCUGUCUUCUUCAUUUACAGCCAAUGUCCCUGAGGCUUAACAAUGCCCAAAGCCUCUCUGAUCUUCCUGACAGUCAUGGUGGGGGGAUGACCAGGUGGGAAGUGCAGGACUCUGAAGCUGAUGGCAAGGAGCAGAGGUGCAAGACUGGGAACAAGGACACAGACUCUGCUGACAUCCUUUUUGGCAACCCCAGUGGAUGUGGCCAGAUCUUGUCUGAUUUGUCCUUCCUGCCUAUUUCCUGUGGCCUCAUUGGGAAGGGUCUGUGGUUUCUGCUAGAGAGAAAGGAA
rnacentral:lncRNA from 1 species